AACGGGCGGCGCCUUACAAUGCCAGCUCGAAGCGGGAAGGAUGGGGAGCUUGCUCCCUGUAUGUUAGCGGCGGACGGGUGAGUAACACGUGGGUAACCUGCCUGUAAGACUGGGAUAACUCCGGGAAACCGGGGCUAAUACCGGAUGCUUGUUUGAACCGCAUGGUUCAAACAUAAAAGGUGGCUUCGGCUACCACUUACAGAUGGACCCGCGGCGCAUUAGCUAGUUGGUGAGGUAAUGGCUCACCAAGGCGACGAUGCGUACCCGACCUGAGAGGGUGAUCGGCCACACUGGGACUGACACACGGCCCACACUCCUACGGGAGGCAGCAGUAGGGAAUCUUCCGCAAUGGACGAAAGUCUGACGGAGCAACGCCGCGUGAGUGAUGAAGGUUUUCGGAUCGUAAAGCUCUGUUGUUAGGAAAAAACAAGUAUCGUUCGAAUAGGGCGGUACCUUGACGGUACCUAACCAGAAAGCCACGGCUAACUACGUGCCAGCACCCGCGGUAAUACGUAGGUGGCAAGCGUUGUCCGGAAUUAUUGGGCGUAAAGGGCUCGCAGGCGGUUUCUUAAGUCUGAUGUGAAAGCCCCCGGCUCAACCGGGGAGGGUCAUUGGAAACUGGGGAACUUGAGUGCAAAAGAGGAGAGUGGAAUUCCACGUGUAGCGGUGAAAUGCGUAGAGAUGUGGAGGAACACCAGUGGCGAAGGCGACUCUCUGGUCUGUAACUGACGCUGAGGAGCGAAAGCGUGGGGAGCGAACAGGAUUAGAUACCCUGGUAGUCCACGCCGUAAACGAUGAGUGCUAAGUGUUAGGGGGUUUCCGCCCCUUAGUGCUGCAGCUAACGCAUUAAGCACUCCGCCUGGGGAGUACGGUCGCAAGACUGAAACUCAAAGGAAUUGACGGGGGCCCGCACAAGCGGUGGAGCAUGUGUUUUAUUUCGAGCCACGCGAAAAACCUUACCAGGUCUUGACAUCCUUUGACAAUCCUAAAAAUAGGACCUCCCC
rnacentral:rRNA from 1 species